rnacentral:rRNA from 1 species
GGGGGGGGGGGGGGGGGGGGGGGGGGGGGGGGGGGCGGGCGGGCGGGCGGGGGGGGUGGGGCUGGGGGGUUUGCGGCGGGCGGGUGGGUGGCGGGUGGGGCGCGUCCGUGUGAGACUGGGGUGCCUUCGUGGGACCGGCGCUGCUACCGGCUACUCUUUUGCGCCGCAUGGUUCAGACGUGAAAGGCGUUCUUGCUGCCCCCUCUCGAUGGAUCCGCGCUGCAUUAUCUAGUUGGUCAGGUAACGGCUUACCAAGGCAACGAUGCAUAGCCGACAUGAGAGGAUGAUCGGCCACACUGGAACUGAGACACGGUCCAGACUCCUACGGGAGGCAGCAGUAGGGAAUCUGCCGCAAUGAGCGAAAGCCUGACGGAGCAACGCCGCGUGAGUGAUGAAGGUCUUCGGAUCGUAAAACUCUGUUAUUAGAGAAGAACAUAUGUGUAAGUAACUGUGCACAUCUUGACGGUACCUAAUCAGAAAGCCACGGCUAACUACGUG